rnacentral:lncRNA from 1 species
CACACACUCAUCAGGCUCAAAAUUUAUUUUUCAUUUCUUGCACUUGAAGUACUCUUCGAUGACAUCUUUGGCCUGAGAUUCCUUGCCAUAAUCUUUGACAACCACACAACUGCAGCCCACAACUUUGCGAGGUUUCCCUUCUCUGUCGAUCUUGCAGAGUCCUACCCAUUCACCCAGCUUUUUGUUGUCAUCAACCUUUAUCAGGUUGAUCUGGUGCUCUGCACAAAGUGCUUCAACUAGCUUUACAUACAUGGGCUCAUCACAAUUUGAAGCCAGGACACAGAGAUGGGCUUGGCGCUUGUCCAAGGCUUUGGCUGCUUCACGAAUACCACGAGCGAGGCCAUCAUGGAUAAGUGCGGUCUUCAGCACUUCUUGGAGGGCGGUGUUAACAUCCAUUACACCUCCAGCAGUAAUGCCUUCCUCGGCCAUGGCCCUCUCGGUGGGUGCCGCUCCCGCCCGGCUUCCCCGCUGCCGCCGCGAGCCACAAGCGA